rnacentral:rRNA from 1 species
UUAAGCAUAUCAAUAAGCGGAGGAAAAGAAACUAACAAGGAUUCCCUUAGUAACUGCGAGUGAACUGGGAAGAGCUCAAAUUUAAAAUCUGGUGGCCUUUUUUAUUGGGCCGCUCGAGUUGUAAUCUAAAGAAGUGGUGCCCGCACUGAAACUCAUGUACAAGUCUUCUGGAAUGGAGCAUCAUAGAGGGUGAGAAUCCCGUCCUUGACAUGGGCUAGGGGCUUUGUGGUGUCGCUUUCAAAGAGUCGAGUUGUUUGGGAAUGCAGCUCAAAAUGGGUGGUAAAUGCCAUCUAAAGCUAAAUAUUGGCGAGAGACCGAUAGCGAACAAGUACCGUGAGGGAAAGAUGAAAAGAACUUUGGAAAGAGAGUUAAACAGUACGUGAAAUUGCUGAAAGGGAAACGCUUGAAGUCAGCCACAUCGGCUUGGAAUCAACCUCUUGCUUUUGCUGGGUGCACUUCCUUGAUUUUUUCCGAUGGGUCAGCAUCAAUUUUGAUCGCUGGAGAAAGGUCUGAGGGAAUGUGGCAUCACUUUUGUGGAUGUGUUAUAGCCCAUUGACCAUAUGCAGCGGUCGAGAUUGAGGAACUCAGCACACCCGCAAGGGCUUUUUUUAAAAAAAUUGUGCUUAGGAUGGCUGGCAUAAUGGCUUUAAGCGACCCGUCUUGAAACACGGACCAAGGAGUCUAACAUGCCUGCGAGUGUUUGGGUGG